rnacentral:lncRNA from 1 species
AUGUGAUACACAAAAUUAUCCAGCGCAUUCAGAAGGACAAAGACAGGAAAAUAAAGAGGGAGGUGAUUAGAAAGUCGUGCCGUCUGAUACAAAACAAAAGGGUGGAGUUAUUACGAAGUAAUAAAUUUGGGAAGUGAUCUAAUGCAACCUAUGUGCUAGUUUAAUCUUAGUCAUUAGAUUAAAUUAAAUCCAACAGUUACGAUCAAUAUCUAAAUCUUUAUUUUGCUAAUAAAUUUAGAGCGUUAUUUCCAAAUUUAAAGUCAAAUUCGAAACACAAAUAUAUUCUCCCACGUUCCCUCUUUUUCAAGGCAUCUUAACCGCUCACUCAAAACUGUUGCCCUCUCCAAGACCUAGAUCCCUAAUCUUUCCCCUUCUCUCUGUAUGCCAUGAAAGCUUUUUUAUGAGGAAAAAGAGAAGAAGUGUUGUGAGAGCUUGUGUCGAAAUGCAUUAUUAAAGUACUUGUACCAGAAAAAGCUUUGUGAGAGCUUUCUCUCUUUUGUUUUUUUUCUCUUUGCUCGUUUUCCCUUUCCCUUUCCCUCGCACCCCUCUUCUUUCCCCCACCCUCACAUCCAUUGAAACUACUCCCACAAGUCCCUGCAAGCUUCUAUUGGCCCCAAGAAGAAGACCACGACAAAGAAGAUAUAGAUAAGUCCCCCAAUAUCUCUAUCCCUGAUGUCGCGGUCUCUCUAUCUCUCUUUAGGUAUCUCUCUUUACAUCCUUCUCCCCCUCUCUCUCAGUCUACCUCUCUCUAGGUUUAUGUCUCUCUCCUAUGGGGCCAUCUCUCUCUUUCUCUCUCUCUCUCUAGGUUGUUUUAAUUAUGCAAUGGGAACACAUGCUCUACGCUCUCUCUUAUUAGUUCAAAGGAUCUUGCAACUCAGACUUUGGUGAAUAACAAUAUCUAUCUAGUUUUCUCUUAUUUUGGAAAUCAUUUUGUCCAAUGGUUUACAAGAAUCCAUAGUAAAUGCGAAAUCAGUGCGAGUGAAUCAUUUGAUGUGUUUGAUUGGUUUUAAGGUGGUUCUAAUGCUUACAACUUUUAUUAAAGUUUUGCUUCUUUGAAUUUAGCUUCUGAGGGAGCAGUUAACUCAGAGGAUAAGUUUUAAGGUGGUUCUAAUGCCUACAACUUUUAUUUAGUUUUGCUUCUUUUCGCCUUCGAGGGAAUAGUUAGCUCAGAGGAUAUUGUUUAUAUCUGAAGACUGAAAUGUUAUUCUUAUUUCAAUUUGAUUUUGUUUUUAUUCGUUACAAUUUAUUCUUGAAUUACAAAGUUAAUUGCUGUAAUGUAUUUCGGAUUAGUUGGAUUGAUUUUAAUAACUAAAACAUUAUGGCUUAGUUUAAAUCAGAUACUAUUGUUUCUGCUGCCAUUUUUUGAGCUUUUUGUGUUAUAGAUCUACUUGAUUUGAACCAUUUUUUUAGUCUAAAAUUUUACAAUUAGAGAUGAAAAUAGAUUCUCAAGACAUCCUAUGAAUUUUUUACCCCAAAAUUACAUCUUAUGAUAAAAUUUGAUGGUGCACCUUACUUUGAUUGUUUAAGGUUUAAACCCUAGGUAAACCACACCCUCAUUAGAAACUUUCUAAUUUAUUUUAAAACAAUUCAAAUCCAUGCAGAGCAUGUGGACUCUGCUAGUCUCAAAAUAAUAACUUAAUGAUGACUUAUAUGUUGUUGUUACAAAAAACAACAAAGACCAUGAAAAUGUGUUCGAUUUGUUGUUCUUGUACUCCAGAUUUUGACUCCAUAAUACAUGAACAAAUUGAUUCAAAGAAUUCUUCUCCACAUCCAUUGGAAUUAGUUCCCAAGCCUCAAAGAAUAUUACCUUUGGC